rnacentral:rRNA from 1 species
GUCUACAGCCAUGCCACCCUGAACAAGCCUGAUUCUGUCUGAUCUCAGAAGCUAAGCAGGAUUGGGCCUGGUUAGUACUUGGAUGGGAGACCACCUAGGAAGACUCCGUGCUACUGUAGGCG